UUUUAUGAGAACAAGCUGCUGGACUAGAACCAGCAGGCUCUUCUUAUGUCCUUCAUGCAAGAUACUGCAUUCUGCAUUGGUCCUAUGGUAGAUAGAUGAUAGAUAGAUAGAUAGAUAGAUAGAUAGAUAGAUAGAUAGAUAGAUGAUAGAUAGAUAGAUAAUAGAUAGGCCCUGUGUCUUUUAAGGAAUUUUCUGGGUACACUGGAAGCUGCCUUAUACUGAGCCAUAUCAUUGGUCCUUCUAGUUCAGUACUGUCUGCACUGAUAGUGUCUAUCCAGGACUUCUGGCAAAGUUCUCUCCCGGCCUUCCCUGGAGAUGUCAGGGAUUUAAACUGGAACCCUCUGCAUGCAAAGCAGAUACUCUGCCACUGAUCCACAGCCCUUCCCCUAGUUUACCUUCUUGCUAAACCUCACGGGCAGGGGGGGGGGGAGGCCUUCUCUGCCUAGCUGCAGCUCCACUUUGCUUUGGACCAAUCCAUCAUAUUCACUUGUUUUAUUGGUUUCUAUCUUUCUGCUUAAUUACAUUGGAUUUCAACUGUGCUGUUGCAUACAGUUCCCUGAAUAUUUGAAACCGCUCUAAGAGGUUGAGCUGAGCCGCUUGCAAUUAAUAUUCAACAGUCCUCCGAGCCUUCUACUGCUUCCUCACAGUAAAUCUCUCAACAUUACAAGAGGGGGUGGGGGAGAGAGAGAGAGAGAGAGAGAAAGGAAAUGUAUUUGAAAUGUCUCUGUGAUCAUCAGAUCCUAUAUGUGUCCGUCUUUAUUAAUUACAUGUGCCUCAUUCACCAGAUUAGUUUCCCAAAUAGCCUUUGACCAUAAAGAUUGUUCAAAAAUUGUGUUAGAGAGCAAUCCUGCACUAUCUACAAAAGCGGGGUUUUUUUAAUUUUUAAAAAAGGUGUUGCAAUCACUACCGCAAUCUCAGUAAUUAAAAUCCUCCAUGAUCAAAGUUCCGGCAUUCUUUCCUUAUCAGACUAGCAUUUGCUGCUCUGUUUUUCUGGAGGUGGCCUGGAGGGCUGUCAGUGCUUGGCUAGCUUCAUUGUUCCUUAUCACUGAAGCUUUCUGAUGUAUCAGCCAAAAUAUUUACUUCGUUCUCAUUCUGAAGGCUCCCUAUCAUCCCACAGCACACACAGCUCAGGUGAAUCUUCACUGCAUUUCUGUUUCAACCCUUCAGUACGUUUGGCGGUCUUGAUUUUUAUACCCUCCGUCAUUUCCUCCCUCGACCUUGUCUCUGUUAAUCUAAUAAUAUUCAUAUUCUUCUCUGAAAAAUCUCAACUCCCAUUUCGGUAGCCUCAUUAUGUAUGCUCUGAGCAUUUUUUUGCAGUGCGCUUUGGAAGGAAUUGUUUCCUCUUUUAUCAGCUCCUCACUUUGCCUUCUCACUAACUCCAGGAAAGAAAGAAAGAAAGAAAGAAAGAAAGAAAGAAAGAAAGAAAGAAAGAAAAGCCAGAAACAAAUCUGUUGAAGACCAGAAAAUAUACGGUACUUCCAGUUCAUUUUUUUUAAGCAGCCCUCCCCCGCCUCACUGCAAUUCAUAUUUCAUGCCCGCAUGGCAGGUAUCAGACUUCUGGAAUUUUACGAGAUGGAAUAGGGCUUCACCAGUCAGCAGAAAUCCAGCAUCUGCCCUGAAGCAAGCCACACUGUGACCUUAGGGUUUUGCAGUGCCUAGGGGUACUUAAAACUUAUUUCUACAGAUAUUUUGGCAUGGCAAGCCAAUGCAGGUAGAUAGCUUUUGGCAAACUCAGAUUCAAAGUUUUACUGUGCAUAACUUACGCAUGAUUACCCACUGCAUGAUUACCUACCACAUGAUCACAUGAAUUAAACCAUGUGUUGAAAAGUUAAUAGCCUGUUAGCUGCCACAUUUCAUUGGAGUUUUCUUCACAGACUCUUAAGGAGGCCAUUUAUGGCUCAUUCCCAGAAAAACAGCCCUUCUAUCUGCCAUUUUUUUGCCACUUACAUACUUUGGUUCUUUGCUGUCCCACUCACUGCGCUUAUUGCCCCCUGCCCACCCCCAAAGAGAGUAAAUGUAUCAUGGAAAAGAGAACAAAAUAUGACACAUAUUGGCUUGAAAUGUGCAUAUGCUAAUGUGCAACAAAUUAGAAACAUAUCUCACCUUAGUGAGGAAGAACUGUGAGCAAGUGACUUAUGUCUGCUCAGUUUGCUGUCCAAGUGUUUACUGUUUAUGGGUAACUUCAGGCCAUUCCUGCUUUUUCUUCUGAUGGUUCAUUAUCUUUAAGCUGCAUCAGACAGCCCUUUAAAUAGACACAUCCUUCACAUAGGAGGCCGAUCCUCUGCAAAUUAGGGCACAUCCUUCUCUCUCUCUCUCUCUCUCUCUCUCUCUCUCUCACACCCACACACACACACACCCACACCCACACACACACACACACCACAUUCACACAUUGCAUAAUAUCCAAGAGCCAUGUCCCCUUAUUACAUGAAUUUCUACUUAGGAACAGGCAACAGGCCAACAGACAAAAGUAAGAUUUUCGAUUCCAAACUGUGAAUUAAAGCUUAGUGUUCUGAAGCAUAAUUCUGCACAAGACAAGAUGACAAAUUGCAGAUGUAGUACCCAGUUUCCUCUGAAUCCUGAGAGCAUUGUCUGGAAAUCAUAGGUUUCUUGGGCUGGCUCCAAAAAAACAAAGGAAACCCCACCAUUAAAAAUGUCUGCUGUAUGCUUAGAUGCUUAUUAAGGUAGGAGCAUGCCUCUUAUGCAGUGGCGAGACAAAUUACAAAAGGCAGUGCUGUACAUGCAUUUUGCUCCUUCUCACAUCUGUUCAUCAGGAGGGGAGCAGUGCAGUCUGUGAAAGUUGUGUUUCUUGCCACUGGGAUGUCUGGCCAUCUUUCUGUAGAAAUUUCAACAUUCCUUAAUACAGAGGUUCUGCUGAAGGAAAGAUAAGAUGCUGGAAAAGCAGAGAUAACAGAAAAUGUUGGCUGCUUGUUCCAGUGUGCCUUUUUUCUUUCUUUUUCUUUCUUUUUAAAGAAAAUGGUUAAGCAAACUUUCAGUCAAGGGCCUCUGUGCAAUUAAUGACCAAUAUCCUGCUGCUUCACACCAUACUGUACUCAAUUUGUUAAAAGAAAGGAGGGGAGGGAAAACCAGUAAAGGCAAACUACUUUUGACAAACAGAGCACAACAUUCCAUUCUUUCACCAACUUAAGUUGCUGAGUAUUUUUUCUAGGUCCAUUUCAAAGGGCUGGAGAUCUGAGACUUUCCGUGUCCUAAAAUGGUCUGGUUCUGACUAUUCUUCAUCAGAAUCAGGAGUUCUGACUAUUCUUCAUCAGAAAAUGACCCAGGCAAUUUUGGCCGGAUGCUUUGCUUCCCCAAGGCAAAUCCCAAUGCAUCUUGGGUUAACAGAGCAUCCUAAACAAAGCCAUGUCUUCAGGCUCACAUGAGGGCAGGUUGCAGGCUUGCUUUUGUGUAAAUUCUACCAUGAAAAGUACCCUUUAUGUGGAUUCCCACCACCAAAUUGGGGAAUUAGGUUAUGGUUAAAUCUGGUCUCUUUCAUGUAUAUUAGUGAUUGUUCCUAUUGCCAGCCCCUCCUCCAACCUGGGGAAGUGCAGUUGUCCUAUUAACCAGCCCUCAGGUCUGCAGCUGUUGCUGUUGAAUGCCAGGUCAGCUCUGAGUAAGAUCUCCCUUAACCAUGGUCUGAUUAUGAAUGAGGAGGCUGAUUUCGUCUGUAUCAUUGAGACCUGGGUGGAUGAGCAGAGUGGAGUUGGUCUCACUCAGCUGUGCUUGGUGCAGCAUCAAGGCAGACUUGAGAGUCAGAGAGGGGGAGUUGCUGUAGUCAAUAGAAAUAACAUCUCUCUUUCCAGACUCUGUCCAGUUUGGAGGAGGAAUCUAGAGUGUGCUUCUGGAAUUGGUCAGUUGGGACAGAUUAGGGAUUUGGCUGGUUACCGCCCGCUUUGCUGCCCAGCAGUCUCCCUGCCUGAGCUGACAGAACUGGUCUCAGAGGUGGUAUUAAGGACUCAUAGAGUGCUGGUUCUGGGGGACUUCAACAUCCAUGUCAAGAUGACUGGCUCUGGGGUGGUGCAGUACCUCAUGACUAUGGAGACUGCCAUGGGGCUGUUUCAAGAUGUCAUUAGCUCAAUGCAUGUGGCUGGCCAUAUUCUGGACCUUGUUUUCACAACUGGGCAGAGAGAAGAGGAUAUUGACAUCAAUCCCUUGUCAUGGUCAGAUCACUUCCUGAUGAGAUUUAGGCUUUCAGCACCUUUUACCCUCUGCAGAGGCAGGAGAUCUGUUAAGAUGGUCUGCCCUUGGAGGCUGAUGGAUCCAAUGGGUUUCCAGGCGGUUCUGGGGGAUUUUCCAGCUGAUAUAACUGAUGCUUCCAGAGAGCAGUGAAAUUUUAAGUUUUCACAGAGAGUUUACAGAGAAAAUACGGGGUUGUUUUCUUGUGUUUGAAAACUUUGUAGGAUUUCAAAUGCUUUGAAUGGCCUGCUAUAUUUUCAUUUAUUCUUUAUCAUUAUUGCUCCUCUUGAAAAUGUAGGGAAGAACAAUUAGGACCAUCUUAAUAAAUCUGAUUUACUGCCCCUGAAGAACAGCCAUCUGACUUGAGAAACAUAUUGGGCUUUAAUCAUUUUAUUAAACUGUUUUAAGUACACCUUUGAGACUUGCUCUUCUCUUCAUUCAUGUGCCAGUGUUGCCUUUCCCUUCAUCACCUUUUUGGCCUGUGGCUCUCCAGGCUGUAGAUGGGGGCUCACAUGAUUGAGGGCCCCUCUCAUAUUGAGACAACACACCUAGCACAAAGGAACAUGGGAAACUGCCUUAUAGCAC
rnacentral:lncRNA from 1 species